ensembl:lncRNA novel transcript
GGUGGGCGGCCCUUCCGGGGGCGUGGCCAGGCAGUGGAGCAGCCACCGGCCCUGACCUGGACCACGUGCUGGGCGCCUCCUGGCAGCCCGUUCUGCUCCCGAAUGCCCCGGCUUAGUCAGUCUGGGAUGCGGCCCUGGACACCGGGCUUUAUGCAGCUCUGAAGUGAUCCCAGCACACAGCCCGGGUCAAGCUCAGCGCUCGGCAACCAUAGGCACCCAACAACGGGCUGCAGCCAUCAGUAACAACGGCAGCUCCAACGCCCAGAGAACUCACGGAGCAGACACACAUCAGGUACUCCAGGUACACCAGCGAUUCAGGAUCAUCCCCAUGGCAGCCCUCCUUCCUCUGAAGGAUUUUUUCCCACUCUCCUCAGAUGAAGACGCGGAGGCCUGAGCGCUGGGGGUCGCCCGGGGCUGCACAGCGGGUCAGAGGCCAACCCUGGGCGGAGCCAGGCCACACCCUCCCUCAAGGAUUCACAGUCUCCCCAAAGUAACCGCAACGAGGGACCCUCCCGUCACCAAACUUCCUUUCAGUCACUUCCGCUUGUACUAAUUCUGGCCCAACCGUUCAUUAUAUUUUUACAA